UGGAGCAGAACCACAUGGAAGCCCAUGCCAU
rnacentral:piRNA from 1 species